rnacentral:lncRNA from 1 species
AAGCGGUCAACCCUAAUUUAUUUUCACUUCUCACACGAAAACUAUCUUACCUACCUCUUCGUGACCUAGUUUGGUGGAUUCUUCAACACAAUAAAGUGUCACAUAGAUGAGACAUAACCACCCAUGUAAAACUUUGGGGCCGUUUACCACCCGAGGAUAGGGCUCUCCUUAGUGAAGCAUAAGUGUAAAUAAGGUUGACCGCUUCGAUCGGGGCCCAAACAUUGGCGAAUUAAAGUGAUUUUUCCACCGUAGCUGUAUUUUACUAUAUUGAUCACAUCAUAUUUCAUGAGAUUUUUGAAAAUUUUGCUUCCUCUAUAUAGUUGGUUCACAAAGUUGUACACUAGCAUAUAACCUAUCAAACAAGUUAUAUUACUUUAGUAGGCAUGUUAUGAUUUCGAUGACUAAAAUUCAGAAAAUGAAAAUUGACCGUAUGAUGUGAUCAUUAUAGUGAAACAUGACUAUGGUAUAAAAUUCAAUUGGAUUCAACAAUGUUCGGGGCUUGAUCAAAACGGUCAACCCUAAUUCAAAUUCAUUUAUCACACGAAAACUAUCUUACCUACCUCUUUGUGACCUAGUUUGGUGGAUUCUUCAACACAAUAAAGUCUCACAUAGAUGAGAUUUAACCACCCAUGUAAAAUUUUGGAGACAUUUACCACCCGAGGAUAGGGCUCUCCUUAGUGAAGCAUAAACGUAAAUAAGGUUGACCGCUUCGAUCGGGGCCCAAACAUUGGCAAAUUAAAGUGAUUUUUCUACCGUAGCCAUAUUUUACUAUACCGAUCACAUCCUAUUUCACAAGAUUUUUGAAAAUUUUGCUUCCUCUAUAUAGUUGGUUCACAAAGUUGUACACUAGCAUAUAACCUACCAAACAAGUUAUACCACAUUAGUUACGUUGUGAUUCCAAUGACUAAAAUUUAGACGCAGUUGUGAAGUGGGUCCCGCCAGUGGUCCGUGACAUUUUUCGGUGAAUUUUUCCGACACUGGAGCUAUUUUCUAUGCAUUUUUAAAGUUUUGAAAUGGUGGAAAAAAAGUAAAACUUUAAUGACAUGGACAGAUUAGUGACUUAGGACGAAUGAGGUCGCAACAUGUGGCAAUUAGUGUUGAAUUUUCAGAAAAGGAAUCCCCCGAAAUGGAAACUUACCAUUCCUUUAUAGUAGAUUUCCAUAAAUAGUAAC